UCGGAGUUAGUGGCGGACGGGUGAGUAACACGUGUUGAACGUGCCUUUAGGUUCGGAAUAACUCAGGGAAACUUGUGCUACUACCGAAUGUGCCCUUCGGGGGAAAGAUUUAUCGCCUUUAGAGCGGCCCGCGUCUGAUUAGCUAGUUGGUGAGGUAAAGGCUCACCAAGGCGACGAUCAGUAGCUGGUCUGAGAGGAUGAUCAGCCACAUUGGGACUGAGACACGGCCCAAACUCCUACGGGAGGCAGCAGUGGGGAAUCUUGCGCAAUGGGCGAAAGCCUGACGCAGCCAUGCCGCGUGAAUGAUGAAGGUCUUAGGAUUGUAAAAUUCUUUCAGUAGGGACGAUAAUGACGGUACCUACAGAAGAAGCCCCGGCUAACUUCGUGCCAGCAGCCGCGGUAAUACGAAGGGGGCUAGCGUUGCUCGGAAUUACUGGGCGUAAAGGGAGCGUAGGCGGACAUUUAAGUCAGGGGUGAAAUCCCGGGGCUCAACCUCGGAAUUGCCUUUGAUACUGGGUGUCUUGAGUAUGAGAGAGGUAUGUGGAACUCCGAGUGUAGAGGUGAAAUUCGUAGAUAUUCGGAAGAACACCAGUGGCGAAGGCGACAUACUGGCUCAUUACUGACGCUGAGGCUCGAAAGCGUGGGGAGCAAACAGGAUUAGAUACCCUGGUAGUCCACGCCGUAAACGAUGAUUGCUAGUUGUCGGGAUGCAUGCAUUUCGGUGACGCAGCUAACGCAUU
rnacentral:rRNA from 1 species